GCUGGAUGCGGUGGUGCAUAUCUGUAAUCCCAGCAGCUCAGGAGGCUGAGGCGGGAGGAUCAUAAGUUCAAGACCAGCCUCAGCAACUUAGCAAGACCCUGUCUCAA
rnacentral:sRNA from 1 species